GGCCCACCCGCGAGCAGCGGGGAAGGCGGGGACCCGGGCCCCGCGGGCCUGCAGCGCCCCCGCACCCGGUUCCACGCGCCCAGGGCCGCCCCCGCGGAGAGAGGGGGCGCGAGGGGCGCGCCUCUCGCUCGGACACCCUCUCCCAGCUCGCGCCCCAGGUAACUUAAACCCAAUUAUAAAUGGCUUUGGCUAUAAAGUGUUCUUGAAUGAAAACGUUUAGGAAGUAGGCCUGGAUUCAGAUGCUUCAGAGGCUCAAAGGAAACAGGAAUCGUGGCUAACCAAAUCCAGCCCAACUGCUUCCUUGUUCACAUGGGGAAAUCGAGGAAGGCCCGGGGAGAGGAAGGCCUGGGGAGAGGAAGUUACUUGCCCAAGUUGCCCAGUUAAUUAGCCACAGAACCCAUGUCCCCCAACUCUGAAACAAGUUCCAGUUAAAGUCUUCACUGAUAACUUUAAAUCCUCCACUAACCAAGGGAGUCAUCUUUGCAUUUGCACAGAGGAGAUGGGAAAAUCACAAAGCCCUUAAGGUUUUCUAAUUGUUUAUGGAGAAGAUUGAUCUUCACAAGCUAGUUUUUUCAUAGGCAAAAGCAAAAGUCUCUUCCUGUGUUAUUAAGUGAAAAUGGCUGAUUAUAAAAAGGCCCUGGGUCAGGAGGUUGCCGAUUCCAGGAAGAAUCAGACCUUAUCCCUGCCCUUGAGUCUCAAGAAGAGGAAAGGAAAACAAAUAAGCAUAGUACAGUGUGAAAAGUGGGACUGUGGUCAAAUUUCAGUCUGCAAACUCAGAUCAUGAAAGAUAGUGUGGCUUCCACUUUGGUCUCUUAUAUCACCUACUGGGGGAAGCCAGCUGCCAUGUUGUGAGGACACUCAAGAAGCUCUGUGGAGAGGCUCUUUUGAAGGAGAACCAAUGCCUCCCACCAACAGCCAGCAUCAACUUGGGACAUGUGAGUGAACCAAUUGGAAGUGGAUCCUCCAGCCAAGUCAAGCCUUCAGAUGACUGAAGCCCCAGCCUCAUGAGAGAUAGCAGGCUAAAACUGCCCAGCUAAGCUGCUCCUGAAAUCCUGACCCCCCAAAUUAUAAAAGACAAUAAAUUAUUAUUGUUGUUUUAAGCCACUACAUGUUGGGGUGAUUCAUUAUGCAGCAACAGAUAAUAAAUACAUCACCCUUGUAUUCAUUACUGACGUUUAUUGGGAGCAUAGUGUGUGAUUUUUCAUUUAACCCUUCCAGUAAUGCUGUGAGAUAGGUAAGUUUAUUAUCCCCAUUUUACAGACAAAGAAACUGAGGUUCAGAAUGAGUGAAGUCUCUUCCCUGCAGAGUCCCUGACCUUAAGGAUUUUAUGGUCAGAUCUGAGAGACAGAAGCUCAAAAACCUAUGACUCUAGGCAAAAUAUGGCCCUGGGAUCCCAGGAUGGGGAGAGGAAUUUUGGAUUCUGGCUUCUACUUGGGCCUCAUAGCUUGGGAUGACAGAGGGUACACUCCAAAGGCAACAAACACCUUCCCUGCCCUUGAGCACCUGCUUAAUCAAGGGGAGAAAGUUCAGAUGCUUAUGCAUAAUGUGUGGUAUUUCUCUGCACAGAAACACACACGGGCCUGUACAGUAAUAAUGAAAAGCAACAACCCAUCUUAAGGGCUUGGCACUUUGCACUUACAAAGCCUUAUACAUCCCUAAUUCCAUGGAAUCACACCUGGCAGGUAAGCGUGGCCCUGUACACUUUACAGAUGGGGACACUGAGGUCAGGGAAGUUGUGUGAUUCUUGCAGAGCCAAGCAGCCUAGAAGUGGCAGAGUUCAGGUAAAACCCAGUAACUGGGUGUUUUACAAGUGCUAAGGGUAUGACAGGAGGUAGGCAGGGCUCCUCUGAGGGAGGUUUCAGGAAGAGGUCACCCGCGAGCAGGGUUCUGAGAAUGGGGAAGUGGCUUCGGGGAGAGGAUGGUGCCUGGGAGGGUUUGAGAGGAAACAGAGUGAGUCCCUAGGGGCUCCCAGGGUGUACGAGGGCAAAGAGGUGAACAUAGCUGGAGUGGAAAGAAUGAGAAAGCCUGGGUGUGUGGAAGAGCCUUGGUGUGUUAGGUGGAAUUGCAGCUGGAGGGUGUGUGCAGAAUGAGAGGUCUUGGUAUUGGGGCCAAAGUCAACUGCCACGCCUAAGGAGGGAGGAAGGCGCUUAUUUUGCUUCUUGGGUGAAAAUCAUUCCUGUGAUUUAGUUCUCCUUGGGGGAGGGGCGGGGUUUCAUCCAGCCUUAGCAAAUGCAUUCAAUCUUCACUACUUCUCUCUGUCAGAUGGGGUGGAUAGAGGUCCAAAUGUGGGCAGAAGCUUUUAUGUCCCAUCGCAGGGCAGCUAAGAACAGCUGCGCGGGUCGUUCACUGUACAUGGGCACUAGGCCAAAAGGGACUGAAAUCCGGACGGCCCUUUGUUUACUAAGCCAUGUGCCUGCAAGGCUGCACCUGCCCAGAAGGAAUGCUUCCUAUUUCUUUUCUUUAAAAAAAAAUUUUUUUUAUGAGCUAAAAUUCACAUAACAUAGAAUCUACCAUUUAAACCACUUUAAAGUAUAAAGUUCAGUGCUUUUAGUAUAGUCACAAUGUUGUGCAACCAUCACCACUAGCAGUUUUCGGAACAUUUCCAUCAUCCCAAAAAACAACUCCAUAACUCCUAAUUCCCCCCCUUUCCCCAUCUCUUGGCGACCAUGAAUCUGAACUUUCAUAUGAAUGGAGUUCUAUAAUUUGCUGUCUUCUGUGACUGUCUUCUUUCAUUUGGCAUUAAAACUUUUCAAGUUUUACCCAUGUUGUGGUAUGUGUCUGUACUUCAUUCCUUUUUAUGGCUCGAUAAUAUCGCAUUGUGUGAAUAUUCCACAAUUUGUGUAUCCCUUCAUGAGUUGAUGGACAUAUGGGUUAUAUCCACUGGCUGUUAAGAACAGGCGGGUCACGGUGGCUCACGCCUGAAAUCCCAGCACUUUGGGAGGCUGAGGUGGGCGGAUCACCUGAGGUCAGGAGUUCUAGAUCAGCUUUGCCAACACGGUGAAACCUUGUCUCUACCAAAUAUAUAAAAAUU
rnacentral:lncRNA from 10 species